GACGAACGCUGGCGGCGUGCCUAAUACAUGCAAGUAGAACGCUGAAGGAGGAGCUUGCUUCUCUGGAUGAGUUGCGAACGGGUGAGUAACGCGUAGGUAACCUGCCUGGUAGCGGGGGAUAACUAUUGGAAACGAUAGCUAAUACCGCAUAAGAGUAGAUGUUGCAUGACAUUUGCUUAAAAGGUGCAAUUGCAUCACUACCAGAUGGACCUGCGUUGUAUUAGCUAGUUGGUGGGGUAACGGCUCACCAAGGCGACGAUACAUAGCCGACCUGAGAGGGUGAGCGGCCACACUGGGACGGAGACAGGGCCCAGACUCCUACGGGAGGCAGCAGUAGGGAAUCUGCGGCAAUGGACGGAAGUCUGACCGAGCAACGCCGCGUGAGGGAAGAAGGUUUUCGGAUCGGAAAGCUCUGUUGUAAGAGAAGAACGAGUGUGAGAGUGGAAAGUUCACAGUGUGACGGUAUCGGACCAGAAAGGGACGGCUAACUACGUG
rnacentral:rRNA from 1 species